UACGUAGGGGGCAAGCGUUGUCCGGAUUUAUUGGGCGUAAAGAGCGUGUAGGCGGCUAGGUAGGUCCGUUGUGAAAACUCGAGGCUCAACCUCGAGACGUCGGUGGAAACCGCAUGGCUAGAGUCCGGAAGAGGAGAGUGAAUUCCUGGUGUAGCGGUGAAAUGCGCAGAUAUCAGGAGGAACACCGAUGGCGAAGGCAGGUCUCUGGGCAUUAACUGACGCUGAGGAGCGAAAGCAUGGGGAGCGAACAGG
rnacentral:rRNA from 1 species